rnacentral:sRNA from 1 species
CAGGAUAACUCAACACCGGGUAAAGACAGCGUGGUGCGUAUUGCGCUGAAGUAACAGGUGGUGUGGCUGAUAAACUUGCACUGCCACCCUGAAUGCACAGUGCUUAUCAGAUGCGCCGUAAAACCCCGUCCUUCAGGGCGGGGAGGAUGUCAAGAACACAGAAAUAC